rnacentral:rRNA from 1 species
GACGAACGCUGGCGGCGUGCCUAAUACAUGCAAGUCGAGCGAAGUUUUUCUGGUGCUUGCACCGGAAAAACUUAGCGGCGAACGGGUGAGUAACACGUAAAGAACCUGCCUCAUAGACUGGGACAACUAUUGGAAACGAUAGCUAAUACCGGAUAACAGCAUUAACUGCAUGGUUGAUGUUUAAAAGUUGGUUUUGCUAACACUAUGAGAUGGCUUUGCGGUGCAUUAGCUAGUUGGUGGGGUAAAGGCCUACCAAGGCGACGAUGCAUAGCCGACCUGAGAGGGUGAUCGGCCACACUGGGACUGAGACACGGCCCAGACUCCUACGGGAGGCAGCAGUAGGGAAUCUUCCGCAAUGGGCGAAAGCCUGACGGAGCAACGCCGCGUGAGUGAAGAAGGAUUUCGGUUCGUAAAGCUCUGUUGUUAGGGAAGAAUGAUUGUGUAGUAACUAUACACAGUAGAGACGGAC